rnacentral:misc_RNA from 1 species
GGUCACGCCCCGGGUGCGUCGCAGCCCCGGAACCAGGCGCCCGCCGGAGGGACCAACCAAACUCUUUUCUGUAGUCCCCUCGCGGACGUUAUUUCUUACAGCUCUGAGCAAAAAUUCAAAAUGAAUCAAAACUUUCAACAACGGAUCUCUUGGUUCUGGCAUCGAUGAAGAACGCAGCGAAAUGCGAUAAGUAAUGUGAAUUGCAGAAUUCAGUGAAUCAUCGAAUCUUUGAACGCACAUUGCGCCCGCCAGUAUUCUGGCGGGCAUGCCUGUCCGAGCGUCAUUUCAACCCUCGAACCCCUCCGGGGGGUCGGCGUUGGGGACCUCGGGAGCCCCUAAGACGGGAUCCCGGCCCCGAAAUACAGUGGCGGUCUCGCCGCAGCCUCUCCUGCGCAGUAGUUUGCACAACUCGCACCG